rnacentral:lncRNA from 1 species
CUGAACCCAAUGGAUGUCUCUGUGUGGGGUGGUGGGGGGACAACGCAAUGGUCUGACCCCAAAAUCAUUGGGGUUGGGGGGGUGGGGGGCCAAAAAGUGACCCCAUGUUGGGUGCAGAUGAGGGUUGGGGGCACCACGAUGCGUUUGCAGGGGGGGCUGACCCGGCUGACCCCUAUGGAUGUCUCUAUGUGGGGUGGUGGGGGGAUACCACGAUGGGUCUGACCCCAAAAUCAGUGGGGUUGGGGUUGGAGGGGGUCCAGAAGACCCCAAAGGUGGGGAUAUGUGGGUUGGGAGCCAGAGAGGAUGAAGAGGAUGAAGUCGACCCCAAAAGACGUCUCCAUGUUGAUUAUUGGGGUUGGGGGGACACUGCGAGGGGUCUGACCCCAAAAUCAGUGGGGUUGGGGUUGGGGAGGGGGCCGGAAGACCCCAAAGGUGGGGAUGUGUGGGUUGGGAGCCAGAGAGGACACCACGAUGAGUCCGACCCCAAAAGACCCCAAAAGUUCCCCCCAGUUUUGCCUUUUUUCCUCUCCCAUUUCCUCCCUUUUUCCUCUCCCAUUUCCUCCCUUUUUCCUCUCCCAUUUCCUCCCUUUUUCCUCUCCCAUUUCCUCCCUUUUCCCCUUCCAUUUCUCCCUUUCCCCCCCCCAAUUUUGCCUUUUUCCUCUCCCACUUCCUCCCUUUUUCCCCUCCCAUUUCUUCCUUUCCCCCCCCCCAAUUUUGCCUUUUUCCUCUCCCAUUUCCCCCCUUUUCCCCCUUCCAUUUCUUCCUUU